rnacentral:rRNA from 1 species
UACGGAGGGUGCGAGCGUUGUCCGGAAUCACUGGGCGUAAAGGGCGCGUAGGCGGCCUGAUAAGUAGGGGGUGAAAUCCUGCGGCUUAACCGCAGGGCUGCCUUCUAAACUGUCAGGCUCGAGCACAGUAGAGGCAGGUGGAAUUCCCGGUGUAGCGGUGGAAUGCGUAGAGAUCGGGAAGAACACCGGAGGCGAAGGCGGCUUGCUGGGCUCGGUCUGACGCUGAGGCGCGAAAGCGUGGGGAGCGAACAGG